AAUGCAGUUUUCGGCGCGAAACUUUAACUAGAGGCAUGUGAAACCGGCAUGGCCAGUCCCCGAGUUUCGGGUUGAAACCUUGUUUCUUUCUUUCUCACACCCAUCUUCCCUUGAACAGAGCACUGCCGACGCCCGGAAGCAACUCUUUGAGGAGCUUCUGUGGGAGCACCGGGACCUUGCUGAGGCCCACAGCCACUGCCAAGUUGUUCCGGAAGCUACCAUCGAGGCCCUGAAGGCCCAGGUCGCCAAGCUUCAAGGCGAGAAGGAGCAGCUCCUCAAGGAGCACAACGAGGCACUGGAGGCCCAGAAGACCGCC